UACGGUGGGAGCUAGCGUUGGUCGGAAUUGCUGGGCGUAAAGGGCGCGUAGGUGGCCAAGUCAGUUAGGUGCGAAAGGCUACAGCUCAACUGUAGUUAUGCAUUUAAGACUGCUUUGGCUUGAGUAUAGGAGAGGAAGGUGGAAUUCCCAGUGUAGCGGUGAAAUGCGUAGAUAUUGGGAGGAACACCGGUGGCGAAGGCGGACUUCUGGACUAAUACUGACACUGAGGCGCGAAAGCUAGGGGAGCGAACGGG
rnacentral:rRNA from 1 species